AUGAGGCUCUCGUCGCCGGCGGGCGCCGUCCUCCCGGCCCAGGCGCCGGCGUCGCCGGAAGCUGCUGAGGAGCACAAGUGCCUGAAUUCGGAGCUAUGGCACGCCUGCGCCGGCCCGCUCGUCUCCUUGCCCGCGGUCGGCAGCAGGGUGGUGUACUUCCCACAGGGUCACAGCGAGCAGGUAGCCGCAUCGACGAAUAAAGAGAUCGAGUCUCAGAUCCCCAACUACCCCAAUUUGCCUCCACAGCUUAUCUGCCAGCUGCACAAUGUGACCAUGCAUGCUGAUGCGGAGACGGACGAGGUCUAUGCGCAGAUGACCUUGCAACCACUUAACCCGCAAGAGCUCAAAGAUCCGUAUCUACCUGCUGAAUUAGGUACUGCAAACAAACAGCCAACGAAUUAUUUUUGCAAAACAUUAACUGCGAGUGACACAAGCACGCAUGGCGGCUUCUCUGUUCCCCGGCGAGCAGCUGAGAAAGUGUUUCCUCCGCUGGAUUUCACCAUGCAGCCUCCAGCACAGGAGUUGUUUGCAAAAGAUCUUCAUGGCAAUGAGUGGAAAUUCCGUCACAUCUUUCGCGGUCAGCCAAAGCGGCAUCUUCUCACAACAGGCUGGAGUGUCUUUGUAAGUGCAAAGAGACUCGUUGCUGGGGACUCUGUCCUAUUUAUCUGGAAUGACAACAAUCAGCUUCUUCUGGGAAUUCGCCGGGCAACUCGGCCACAAACUGUCAUGCCAUCUUCCGUCCUAUCAAGUGAUAGCAUGCACAUUGGUCUUCUUGCUGCAGCUGCUCAUGCUGCCUCAACAAAUAGCCGGUUUACAAUCUUUUAUAACCCAAGAGCUAGCCCUUGUGAGUUUGUUAUACCACUUGCCAAGUAUGUAAAAGCCGUGUAUCAUACCCGUAUAUCGGUGGGGAUGCGUUUCAGGAUGCUUUUUGAGACAGAAGAAUCAAGUGUUCGGAGAUACAUGGGGACAAUUACAGGAAUUAGUGAUCUUGAUGCUGUCCGUUGGCCAAACUCACAUUGGCGGUCUGUGAAGGUUGGCUGGGAUGAAUCAACUGCUGGAGAGAGGCAGCCAAGGGUGUCACUUUGGGAGAUUGAACCCCUGACAACUUUCCCGAUGUACCCUACUCCUUUUCCACUCAGACUGAAGCGACCAUGGCCAACAGGCUUGCCUUCUCUGCAUGGUGGUAAGGAUGAUGACUUGACUUCCUCGCUCAUGUGGCUUCGAGAUAGUGCAAGCCCUGGUUUCCAGUCGCUGAAUUUCGGUGGUGCUGGUAUGAAUCCCUGGAUGCAGCCAAGGCUGGAUGCAUCGUUACUUGGUCUACAGCCUGACAUUUACCAAACGAUGGCUGCGGCUGCGUUCCAGGACCCAACAAAGAUGUCACCCACGAUGUUGCAGUUCCAGCAGCCACAAAACAUGGUUGGUAGAGCUACGCCGCUUCUGCAAAGUCAGAUUUUACAGCAAAUGCAACCUCAGUUUCAGCAGCAGUCAUACCUUCAAAACAUCAAUGGGGCCACGAUCCAGGGCCAGGCUCAGUCUGAGUUCCUUCAACAGCAGCUCCAACGGUGCCAGUCCUUCAAUGAGCAGAAGCCACAGCUUCUCCAACAGCAAGAAUCAAAUCAGCAGCAAUCACAGGGUAUGCAAGUCCCUCAACAUCAGCAUAUGCAACAACAGAAGAAUAUGGCGAACUACCAGUCAGCAUAUUCUCAACUCUCCCCAGGUCCUCAGUCUUCACCUACAGCACUGCAAACGGCCUUACCGUUUUCGCAGUCUCAGAGCUUUUCGGACACGAAUAUGAGCUCAUUGUCCCCAUCCGGUGCCCCCGCCAUGCAUAAUACCUUGGGGCCAUUCUCAUCAGAAACAGCUUCACACCUGAGUAUGUCAAGGCCUACUGCGGUACCUGUCCCUGACUCAUGGUCGUCAAAGCGAGUUGCAGUGGAGUCUCUGAUUCCUUCUCGGCCUCAGUCCACCACGCAUAUGGAACAGCUAUCCUCAACACCACCUAGCAUACCUCAAAGCUCUGCAUUGGCGCCACUUCCUGGAAGAGGUUGCUUGGUGGAUCAAGAUGGGAGCUCUGAUCCUCAGAAUCAUCUUUUGUUCGGCGUUAAUAUAGACUCACACUCACUUCUGAUGCAAGGAGGUCUUCACGACGAGAAUGAUUCGACGGCAAUGCCCUAUUCCACUUCCAAUUUUCUGAGUCCUUCUCAACAUGAUUUCUCCUUGGAUCAGACACUAAAUAGUUCAGGAUGCUUGGAUGAGUCGGGAUAUGUGCCAUGUUCACACACUCCUGAUCAAGUGAAUCAACCACCUGCAACCUUUGUGAAGGUUUACAAAUCUGGAACCUACGGAAGGUCGCUUGAUAUCACCAAGUUUAGCAACUACCAUGAACUACGUAGGGAACUGGGGCGCCUAUUCGGCCUUGAGGGCCAGUUGGAAGACCCUAUGAGAUCAGGCUGGCAGCUUGUAUUCGUCGACCGGGAGGAGGACGUCCUUCUGGUCGGUGACGACCCUUGGCAGGAAUUCGUGAACAGCGUGUCCUGCAUAAAGAUCCUGUCCCCGCAGGAGGUGCAGCAGAUGGGCAAGCAGGGCCUGGAGCUCCUGAGCUCGGCCCCCGGGAAGAGGCUAGGCGGCGGCGGCGGCGGUAGCAGCUGCGACGACUACGCGAGCAGGCAGGAGUCGAGGAGCCUGAGCACCGGGAUCGCGUCGGUCGGCUCGGUCGAAGUAGAGUUCUGA
rnacentral:rRNA from 1 species